UACGUAGGGUGCAAGCGUUAAUCGGAAUUACUGGGCGUAAAGCGUGCGCAGGCGGUUAUGUAAGACAGGGGUGAAAUCCCCGGGCUUAACCUGGGAAUUGCGCUUGAAACUAGCGGGCUUGAGUGUGGCAGAGGGGGGUGGAAUUCCACGUGUAGCAGUGAAAUGCGUAGAGAUGUGGAGGAACACCGAUGGCGAAGGCAGCCCCCUGGGUCAACACUGACGCUCAUGCACGAAAGCGUGGGGAGCAAACAGG
rnacentral:rRNA from 1 species